AAAAGUGGAAGGAAAGAGUGGGGUGUGGAUGGAGGAAGGAGAACAGGGAAAAGGGAGGCAGGCUCUUGGCAAAGACAGGUUUGCAAGAGAGAAAAAAACAGAGGGCGGGCCGGCGGGAGGCUCCUCUGUGGGAUAAAGGGGGCCCCCCAGCUCUUCUGUGGGCUCCACGCCAGCACGGGGCUCUCAAGGUUCGCAGCAACCUGGCUCCAAGACUUUAAAAUAUCGCCGCAUCUGAGCUCAAGAAUUUCCUAUAAAGCUCGCGGGCUGACAGCAGGAAGCCGGGCCGGGUUCAAACCUUCUUUCUCCGGCUCAGCAGCGCGCUGCCAGCCGGGGGGCACAGUGGGAGCCGAGGGAGGGUCUGUCCUGCGGCAGAAAAUGUGCAGAAGUCACGGGGACAUCAUUUUAGGUAUAAUGAAGGAGGCUACGGAAAGCAGAGCGUCCCCUCCAACCAACCGACACUGCAUGGGCGAUCGUGCGUUUUUCUGCACAGAAUUCCAUUUACUUACACAUCACGGACAUUCUCUGGCCCUACAGUGGGCAUCAGCUUCAGCUUCCUGUACUAACUACCCCCAAAUGAUCCAGGAAAGCAGGAAGUCCUCACUUCUAAGAAGCUGGAAGUUAACAGUCCCCAGAGCGAGAGAGGGCAGGGCAGAAGGAGAGAGAGAGACACUCCUAACCUGGCUCCACAUUCAAUGAGGAGCCCGACGUGGGGCUUGAUCCCACAACCCUGGGAUCAUGACCUGAGCCGAAAUCAAGAGUCGGACACUCAACUGACCGAGCCCCCCGGGCACCACCCGGGCGCCCCCUCCCCUCAAAUAUUUCUGUCGUAAUCAACCUCCUUCUGUACUCUUAUUUGGUC
rnacentral:lncRNA from 1 species